AUGGACUGGACCUGGAGGUUCCUCUUUGUGGUGGCAGCAGCUACAGGUGUCCAGUCCCAGGUGCAGCUGGUGCAGUCUGGGGCUGAGGUGAAGAAGCCUGGGUCCUCGGUGAAGGUCUCCUGCAAGGCUUCUGGAGGCACCUUCAGCAGCUAUGCUAUCAGCUGGGUGCGACAGGCCCCUGGACAAGGGCUUGAGUGGAUGGGAGGGAUCAUCCCUAUCUUUGGUACAGCAAACUACGCACAGAAGUUCCAGGGCAGAGUCACGAUUACCGCGGACAAAUCCACGAGCACAGCCUACAUGGAGCUGAGCAGCCUGAGAUCUGAGGACACGGCCGUGUAUUACUGUGCGAGAGA